AUUGAACGCUGGCGGCAGGCUUAACACAUGCAAGUCGAGCGGGGGAAGGUAGCUUGCUACCGGACCUAGCGGCGGACGGGUGAGUAAUGCUUAGGAAUCUGCCUAUAGUGGGGGACAACAUCUCGAAAGGGAUGCUAAUACCGCAUACGUCCUACGGGAGAAAGCAGGGGAUCUUCGGACCGUGCGCUAAUAGAUGAGCCUAAGUCGGAUUAGCUAGUUGGGGGGGUAAAGGCCUACCAAGGCGACGAUCUGUAGCGGGUCUGAGAGGAUGAUCCGCAACACUGGGACUGAGAGACGGCCCAGACUCCUACGGGAGGCAGCAGUGGGGAAUAUUGGACAAUGGGGGGAACCCUGAUCCAGCCAUGCCGCGUGUGUGAAGAAGGCCUUAUGGUUGUAAAGCACUUUAAGCGAGGAGGAGGCUACUUUAGUUAAUACCUAGAGAUAGUGGACGUUACUCGCAGAAUAAGCACCGGCUAACUCUGUGCCAGCCGCCGCCGUAA
rnacentral:rRNA from 1 species